rnacentral:rRNA from 1 species
GACGAACGCUGGCGGCGUGCUUAACACAUGCAAGUCGAACGGAAAGGCCUGCUUUCCCUUGUGGAUUGCGGGUACUCGAGUGGCGAACGGGUGAGUAACACGUGAGUGAUCUGCCCCCAACUUGGGUAUAAGCCUGGGAAACUGGGUCUAAUUCCCGAUAGGACUGCAGGGUGGUGCCUGUGGUGGAAAACGAGUUUCUAGUGGGUGGGGAUGAGCUCGCGGCCUAUCAGCUUGUUGGUGGGGUAAUGGCCUACCAAGGCGGCGACGGGUAGCCGGCCUGAGAGGGUGGACGGCCACAUUGGGACUGAGAUACGGCCCAGACUCCUACGGGAGGCAGCAGUGGGGAAUAUUGCACAAUGGGCGGAAGCCUGAUGCAGCGACGCCGCGUGGGGGAUGACGGCCUUCGGGUUGUAAACUCCUUUCGACCGCGAGGAAGCCACCUGGUUGGAAGGGUGGUGACGGUAGUGGUAGAAGAAGCACCGGCUAACUACGUG